UCGUAGCGUUGGAAGACUCUGUGGUCGAUGCAUCAGCACUAGCUGUGGCGGUCUCUGAUGUGACCGUCGUAGCGUUCGAUGAUUCUGUGGUUGAAGCAUCAGCACUUGAUGUGGAAGUCUCUGAUGUGACCGUCGUAGCGUUCGAAGAUUCAG